rnacentral:rRNA from 1 species
AUUGAACGCCGGCGGCAGGCCUAACACAUGCAAGUCGAACGAGUGGCGGACGGGUGAGUACUGUCUGGGAAACUGCCCGAUGGAGGGGGAUAACUACUGUAAACGGUAGCUAAUACCGCAUACCAUCAGAUGUGCCCAGAUGGGAUUAGCUAGUAGGUGGGGUAACGGCUCACCUAGGCGACGAUCCCUAGCUGGUCUGAGAGGAUGACAAGCCACACUGGAACUGAGACACGGGCCAGACUCCUACGGUAGGCAGCAGUGGGGAAUAUUGCACAAUGGGGGCAAGCCUGAUGCAUCCAUGCCGAGUGUAUGAAGAAGGCCUGCGGGUUGGAAAGUACUUCCAGCGAGGAGGCGUUACUCGCAGAAGAAGCAUCGGCUAACUCCGUGCCAGCAGCCGCGGUAAUUC